ACGGGAGGCAGCAGUGGGGAAUAUUGGGCAAUGGGCGCAAGCCUGAUGCAGCGAUGCCGCGUGAGGGAAGAAGGUUUUCGGAUUGUAAACCUCUGUCCUCAGGGACGAUAAUGACGGUACCUGAGGAGGAAGCUCCGGCUAACUACGUGCCAGCAGCCGCGGUAAUACGUAGGGAGCGAGCGUUGUCCGGAAUUACUGGGUGUAAAGGGUGCGUAGGCGGGACGGCAAGUCAGAUGUGAAAUGUAUGGGCUUAACCCAUAACCUGCAUUUGAAACUGUUGUUCUUGAGUGAGGUAGAGGUAAGCGGAAUUCCUAGUGUAGCGGUGAAAUGCGUAGAUAUUAGGAGGAACACCAGUGGCGAAGGCGGCUUGCUGGACGACAACUGACGCUGAGGCGCGAAAGCGUGGGGAGCAAACAGGAUUAGAUACCCUGGUA
rnacentral:rRNA from 1 species